UCUAUAACGAAGCUGUCGACUCUCUCUUGGUACUUUCUCAGUCUUAGUGACUUUUUUUAAAACACUUCCAUGAUGGAUUGAGGAAGCAAGGUCGUAAAGCAGUCAAACGUGCCUUCCAUUUCCUCGACAGAGGAUUCCAAUUCAUCAACUGGUAAUGAUAGAUUGGUAUCUGAGUAAAGUUUACCUUUAAAUGGGUAGCAGAAAUUAGCCAGGCCAGGAUAACUUGAAAGCAGCACCUUUGUAAGAAGCAUCAGUCUUCUUACAGUUGCUAUGGCUACAGAAAGAAGUCCAAUUAAAGUUCCAUGUGAAAAUGAAAACUUACCUGAAAAAGAAAAUGCACCAGAUUUUGAUGAGGACACUUUGCAAGCCACAGCUGAUGUUUAUAGGAAUAAAGGUAAUGAGGCCUUCAAGAAAGGAGAUUUCAUCAAUGCUAUUCAUUUUUACACCAAAGGAAUUAAAAUGAACUGCAAUGACAAAGAACUGAAGGCCAAACUGCACAACAACAGGGCUAUUGCACAUUUUAAACUUGGAAAUCACCAGUAUAUUCACUAAGGGAUGCAGAAGCAGCCAUUGAGUUAACUCCAACUUUCCUUGAGGCAAUUAUGAGAGAUCUUCUUCUUAAACUUCGUCCGCCAUUUUGGAUUUCCCUGGUGCACAUUUGAUUUGAAAACACUGCUGGUUUUAUUUGAUGGCGACUGCAGAAGGUGUUUCACAUGUUCUUGUGUGUACAUACAGGGAAUAACACAGGGAAAUACUUGGGGUCGGUGGGAACUAAUUCCACCAAUAGUUUUAUACCAGAAGCAUGGUUCAUGGUUGCUGCAAGUUCUGGGAAAAGUCAGGGAUAUAAAGAUUUCCUCAAGGUCAGAGAAUAUACAUCUUUGAAAGAAGUCUGGCAAAAUUUGAAGUAAUUAUCUUGCAUUUUAAUUGGACCCUUUAUGAUUAUGUUACGUUUACAAAAAUUGAGAGAUAGUAUAUGCCCUACUUCUCAUGAAAGUUCUUAUCCGUAACUCUGGCUGUAAGCAUGUUUAACAGUCUGCUUUGGUGAUAAUC